AAUGGAACUGUCCUCCUUAGA
rnacentral:tRNA from 1 species